GAUGGGAGUGGAGUCGGGUAACAGAGACAAGUGCUUCUUCCCCUUGGACAGCUGCACUACCCAGAACCCAUUUUCCGGGGAUUUGGGCACCCUGUCCUUCCGGCUCACGUUGUCCCUGCACACGCCUAAGGCCCAGAGUGCAUCCCCGGUCAGACACCAAACCUUCAGAGUCCAGGAACCCCUUUCCUCCCUGAGGCCUCCCACCCUGAAAGGGCCCUUCCUGUCAUGGGAUGAGGAUGGAUAUGGAGACACAGGAUGGACGACAGCCACUGGGCACCCACCUGCCAUUGAGUUAAGUUCUCUUCCCCCUUGGCUUGCAGCGUCUCCGUCUUCGUCACCUCCUCCCGAAGAUACUUUAUGUCUUCCUCCAACUUCGUCUGGAUACACAAACACAGGCCUCAGCUCAUCAGGAUGCAGUUUCUGCAGAAGUUGUGGCCACAGGCAGUCAUCACAGG